rnacentral:rRNA from 1 species
GAUCCUGGCUCAGGAUGAACGCUGGCGGCGUGCUUAACACAUGCAAGUCGAACGAAGACAUCUGAGUGCUUGCACUUGGAUGGACUGAGUGGCGGACGGUGAGUAACGCGUGGGUAACCUGCCCUGUACAGGGGGACAACAGCCGGAAACAGCUGCUAAUACCCCAUAAGCGCACGGUAUCGCAUGAUACAGUGUGAAAAGCCGAGACGGUACAGGAUGGACCCGCGUCUGAUUAGAUAGUUGGUGGGGUAACGGCCUACCAAGUCAGCGAUCAGUAGCCGGCCUGAGAGGGUGAACGGCCACAUUGGGACUGAGACACGGCCCAGACUCCUACGGGAGGCAGCAGUGGGGGAUAUUGCACAAUGGGGGAAACCCUGAUGCAGCGACGCCGCGUGGAGGAAGAAGGUCUUCGGAUUGUAAACUCCUGUUGUUGAGGAAGAUAAUGACGGUACUCAACAAGGAAGUGACGGCUAACUACGUG